rnacentral:lncRNA from 1 species
UUUUUUGCUUAAUAGAUUUCUUAAUGUUAAAUAAUUAUUUUAAUCCCAAGAUGAGUUUUCUUUAGUCACAAUUAUUUAAAAGCUACAUUACUGUUUUCUUUCCGCGUGGUUGUUGAGAACUCUGAAGCAAACAAGUGGUGAAUACAAUUUGGAGAGGACUUGGGGGAGGAUAAGUAACGAAUUUUCUCAACCUAUAAUGGCAUCUAAUUCAGCUGUAGAAAUUGACAAUGAAAGCAAGCGGUGGCAAGAGGAUUUUUCAACUACCUUGAAAAAUUGAAGUAAGAAUACUAUCUCAAGGAAUCCUUGAAACAAAUGAAUGUUGGUGAAGAUUUAGAAAGGGAAGAUUUUGACAGUCGUAGAUACAAAUACUUGGAUGAUGAUGGAUCUCUCUCUCCUAUCGAAGAGUCAGAAACAGUGGAAGAGGCUGCAACAACUCUUGAACAUGAUGAUGGAUGUGAUAUCAAAUUGGUGGACAAUAAUGAAUUCAUAGCUUUUCACUUGAAAACAGUGUCUGGACUUAAAGUGGGGAGUUUUUGA